rnacentral:tRNA from 1 species
GGGCUAUUAGCUCAGAUUGGUUAGAGCACACCCUUGAUAAGGGUGGAGUCACUGGUUCAAGUCCAGUAUAGCCCA